rnacentral:rRNA from 1 species
UGAAUACGAGAUGCUACGGCAUCGAAGCAGUCUAUGUCAUACUUCCAAGAAAAGCUUGCACUGUCAUAAACAAAUAAUGCCUGUACCAUAACCGACACAGGUGGGUAGGUAGAGUAUACUAAGGGGCGCGAGAUAACUCUCUCUAAGGAACUCGGCAAAAUGACUCCGUAACUUCGGGAGAAGGAGUGCCUUAUUUUAUAAGGUUGCAAUAACAAGAUCCAAGCAACUGUUUACCAAAAACACAGGUCUCCGCUAAGUCGCAAGACGAUGUAUGGGGGCUGACGCCUGCCCAGUGCCAGAAGGUUAAAGAAGUUGGUUAGCAUUAGCGAAGCUGAUAACUGAAGCCCUGGUGAACGGCGGCCGUAACAAUAACGGUCCUAAGGUAGCGAAAUUCCUUGUCGGGUAAGUUCCGACCCGCACGAAAGGCGUAAUGAUUUGGAUACUGUCUCGGAGAGGGGCUCGGUGAAAUAGACUUGUCUGUGAAGAUGCGGACUACCUGCACCAGGACAGAAAGACCCUAUGAAGCUUUACUGUAACUUGAGAUUGAAAUUGGACUUUAUUUGCGCAGUAUAGGUGGGAGACGUUGAAAAUAUUCUUGCGGGAAUAUUGGAGUCAUCAGUGAGAUACCACUCUUAUAAUGUUAGAUUUCUAACUUUGUAUCAUUAUCUGGUCAAAGAACAGUCUCAGGCGGGCAGUUUGACUGGGGCGGUCGCCUCCCAAACGGUAACGGAGGCGCACAAAGGUUUCCUCUGAACGUGUAGAAAUCGUAUCUAGAGUGUAAAGGCAUAAGGAAGCUUGACUGUGAGACCUACAAGUCGAGCAGGGACGAAAGUCGGUCUUAGUGAUCUGACGGUGCUGAGUGGAAAGGCCGUCACUCAACGGAUAAAAGUUACUCUAGGAUAACAGGCUGAUCUCUCCCAAGAGUUCACAUCGACGGGGAGGUUUGGCACCUCGAUGUCGGCUCAUCGCAUCCUGGGGCGGUAGUACGUCCCAAGGGUUGGGCUGUUCGCCCAUGAAAGCGGUACGCGAGCUGGGUUCAGAACGUCGUGAGACAGUUCGGUCCAUAUCCGGUGUAGGCGUUAGAAUAUUGAGAGGAGCCUUCUUUAGUACGAGAGGACCGAGAAGGACAUACCUCUGGUGUACCAGUUAUCGUCCAACGGUAAACGCUGGGUAGCUAUGUAUGGAGAGGAUAACCGCUGAAAGCAUCUAAGUGGGAAGCCCACCUCAAAAUAAG